UACGUAGGGUGCGAGCGUUAAUCGGAAUUACUGGGCGUAAAGCGUGCGCAGGCGGUUCGUUAUGUCCGAUGUGAAAGCCCCGAGCUCAACUUGGGAAUGGCAUUGGAAACUGGCGGGCUGGAGUGUGGCAGAGGGGGGUGGAAUUCCGACGUGUAGCAGUGAAAUGCGUAGAGAUGAUGGAGGAACACCGGUGGCGAAGGCGGAUCUCUGGGCCAUUACUGACGCUGAGGAGCGAAAGCGUGGGGAGCGAACAGG
rnacentral:rRNA from 1 species